rnacentral:snRNA from 1 species
AUCACUUUUUGGCCUUUUGGCUAAGAUGAAGUGU